GUGCGAGACCGAUAGCGAACAAGUACCGUGAGGAAAAGAUGAAAAGAACUUUGAAAAGAGAGUUAAAGAGUACCUGAAACUGCUGAAAGGGAAGCGAAUCGUAUCCAGUGUCUAUAAUCUGCGGCAUAUUUCAUUGGCGGCGGUGCGCGUGCUUUUGCGUCGGAAGCGGCUUUUGUUGCUCUGUGCUUUUGCUGUGCGUGCUGUUGCUGGUGCCCUGUGUUGCGGUGGGACGUCAGAGUCAGUUCGUAUGCUGCGGGAAAUGGCCGCCGAGGAGGUAGGUCGAGAUUUCGGUCUUGGCUGUUAUAUCUUGGUGGUUUGUUGUCGUGGUUGAGACUGAGGUGCCUACAAUGUGCUUUUGAGUGUACCGGGUUCUCAUUUGGUGGACUGUUUGGAUAGCUUGCUAUGCUUGUGGUUUUUUCAUCGGGUGAUUGAGUCUGGUGGUAACUUGUUGCUGUUCGGGACUUUGA
rnacentral:rRNA from 2 species